rnacentral:tRNA from 1 species
UUCGCGCAGAGCCGCGCUGUCAUGAGCGAUCUGCUGCCGCCGGAUCUCGAUGGCGCGUUCGAACUGGGCGCGCGACA